CCUACGGGGGGCAGCAGUAGGGAAUCUUUCACAAUGGGCGAAAGCCUGAUGGAGCAACGCCGCGUGCAGGAUGAAGGCCUUCGGGUUGUAAACUGCUUUUAUAAGCGAGAAAUAUGAUGGUAACUUAUGAAUAAGGAUCGGCUAACUACGUGCCAGCAGCCGCGGUCAUACGUAGGAUCCGAGCAUUAUCCGGAGUGACUGGGUGUAAAGAGUUGCGUAGGUGGCAUAAUAAGUAGCUAGUGAAAUCUGGUGGCUCAACCAUUCAGCCUAUUAGCUAAACUGUUAAGCUCGAGACCGUUAGGGGUAACUGGAAUGUCUAGUGUAGGAGUGAAAUCCGUAGAUAUUAGAAGGAACACCAAUAGCGUAGGCAGGUUGCUGGGACGGUUCUGACACUAAGGCACGAAAGCGUAGGGAGCAAACGGGAUUAGAUACCCGAGUAGUC
rnacentral:rRNA from 1 species